GGGAUUGUGGCUCAGUGGUAGAGCACUUGCCUAGCAUGCACAGGGCCCUGGGUUUGAUCCUCAGCACCA
rnacentral:tRNA from 1 species